UACCUAUGUUGUGCAACAAUUGACUGAUGAGUUAGGUUGGGGUUAAUGGGUCGAUUGGCCGGGAGUUUAUUGGGCAUUUUGAAUUUUUCUUACUAUUUUCGUAAUUUUUUUUAUUAACUUGGGCUAGCUUGUAGUUUUGUGGGAUUUUAGAAAUUUUUCGUAAUUUUUUGAAAAUUUCUACCCCAAUACGAAAUUCCGACAAAACCAUACCCUUUAUGAGAAUUACCAUUACCGGCUAAAAUGGUUAGAAAAAAGCAAAAACAGGGUCAGUAUG
rnacentral:lncRNA from 1 species